CCCACCCAGCACCAGACGUCAUUUGGACGUUGUUUUCUGGUCUAAAUAAAGUCGGCCCGUCAUGGCUUUCUUUUAGACCAAAAAACGACGUUGAAAAAUGGUCUUUGUUUGGUCCGAGAGAUUUGGUCCAAAUUAAGCCCAAAAAGCGACGUUUAACGGUUUUUUUUAAAAAAUCCAAAUUUAGCCCAAAAUAGAUGUAGAUGGGCUUUUGUCCAAAUUUAGCAGAAAAACACGUUUAUUUCGGACCACAGCCAUUAACAUAAAUAUAGCUAGUGAAGAAAUAGAUUAUACAUCAUAUCUGAAGCACUGUAAAAUAUAUUGAAAUAUAUUUUGAAAACACUGGAUGGGCGCGCGCUGAACUGGAGCGGAGGACGUCACCAUGGAAACGGGGCGGCAGCUCAACUGUCAAGCAGCUGAAUGCUGUCUCUCAUGGUUGUUUUCACUAAUUUCAGAAAUGGCUUAUUGUCUUCAGAAAAAGUCCGUUAGCAUCUCAACCUUAAUGCUAACUACAAGAGAUUCUUCCAUGCUGAUGUCCAUACCCUAGAGUUGGAGCGUGUAUCUUGUCAAAGAUCAUUUUUAGACAUUAUGAGACAUAUGACUUGGGGGCAAAAUACAUUGAGUCAAGUCAGACAUUCGACAGUCAUAAUUACUGAUCUUAACACACAGAGAAAAUGUGUAAUGAACGCCUCGCAGAUACAAACGGGGUAAAUAAUAGUUCAUCAUUGAUAUAUAUUUUCUAUUUCAGAGACUGAAAAUCAUCGAUAAACCACAAGAGUUUAGCUCCAACCCCAAUUAAGCAGACCUGAGCAGCUGAUCAAAGAUCACCAGAAACUCUGCAGAACGGUUGUCCUGCAUGCCCAGGACUGGACACCAGUGUUGUAAGUCAUAAAUCUAGAAGUAAUUGUGCCUCUUUGAAUGGUCAUGUUCAGAACAUAUAGCAGGAGAUCUCAACAUUGUCUCUCAAGGUCCACUUACAUGCAGAGUUUUGCACCAACUUAGUGCAGUGCACCUGAACACAUUAAUCAAGGUCUUCAGUUUUACUAACUAUAAAGUCACAAACAGGUGAGUGUGAUCAGGUGUGGACUGAAGAUCUUUGCCCGAACCCGACGGGACCCGAUGGGUUCGGUCUUAAUUUAUAUCAUUUUACACGGGCUCAGGCUGGGCUCGGGCUUGGCUCCGGUUUGCGAGGUAAAUGAGCGGUCAUGUGAUGGGUUUCGAUUAGCGCGAGAAAGACGCGAAAAUGGAUGCUGAGUACGUGAAACGGAGGCUUGCCUCUGGCGAUUACGUUUUGGUUGCACCAGCAACUAAAGCAAAAUCUGAGGUGUGGAAAAGUUAUGACCAUGUUUAUAAUGAGAAUAAUGAGCCAGUGGGUUAUAUUGCUGGACGCACCAUCAGUGAGCGCAGGAAUGCGCUAAAGCCAUCUAGUGGCGAAGCAAAUCCUGCGGAGCCUUUUUUGUAAUUUCGUUAUUGCCAAAUACCCAUCUUAAUUUAGAAUUUAACUUAAUUUAAUUUGUUAAGAAAGACUCGUUUUUAUUGGUGCAUUGGCCUAUUUAAAGGCUAAAUGACCCUAUGCCUAGGCCUAUUUAGAGUGCUGAGAUGUUACGAUGUGACAGAGGACAUAUUUUAUUUCUUUGUUCCAACUUCCAAGUGGCCUAUAGCCUAAGUUAGUCAUGAAUAAAUUAUGUUAAAACAUGUAUAAAUGACUCAUUCUUGACAAAAGAGCUGUGUGCGUGCGCACAUUUGAAUAAUGUCGGGCUGUAAAUGGGUUCGGGCUUUUAAAAAGCUGUCAAUCAAAAUGUAUUAGUCGGGCACGGCCCGAAAUCUGUCGGGCUCGGGUCCUGUCGGGCCUAACUUUUAAGGCCCAAUUACAGCUCUAGUGUAGACCUAAACUUUGGGUGUGUAUCACUUAGGUCCCUUGCUCAGAAGUCAGUGGUUAAGGCCUGCCUCAAUCACAAUUUUACAGUGCACUGAAAUGUUUGCUCCCUACAAAAGCUGUGAUAACCAGGAAGCAUCGAUGCUCAAUAAGUUCCCUUUUAGGAAGUUCUGAAACUCACAACUUAAGACCCUUUCACACUG